CAUAGCGGAAGACUUAUUACAAAAUAAAAGAUAAAUAUAAAACGAACUAAGGAUCAUCGGCGCCAAUGUCGACUGAGAAACGCCACCUAGAUCAAAUCGAACUCCUCGCUUUGUGGCUCCUCCUGAACCACCUGUUCUUCUCCUGUGGGGGGGUGUGAGACAGCAAGAGUGAGCUCACAUACGUUCAUAGCUCAAUAAGUCGUGGGGAAUAAUGUGGCACGAACUCACCAAAGGUGGGAGUUCAUGAAGUGUAAGGCUGAUCAAAGAAAUAAAGGUUGAGGCUGAGCAUUGCUUUUAUAAGUUGGUCAAAAUUUUAUUAGCAAUUACUAAGUGUAAGUAAAUACCAAACCUUAAUAAUAAUAAAGAAAAGUAAUAGUAAAAUAAUCCCAAAUGUGAUGCAAAUGUCAAAUUAAAUUUAAGUUCCAUAAUUAAUCAUGUGAGGGUCCGAGCCGCUCAUGACCGUGAGCACGGCUAGUAUACUAGUUUUACACUCUGCAGAGGUUGCACAUCUUUACCCACAAGUCAUGUUACCCAUCUGCCAAGAGAUGGCCAAUCCCAUACACCUCUACCGAGGAGGCGAGGCAGGGUAACACUACGAGGCCUUUACAAAGUUCCACUAGCUUCAGAAAUCCCGCUACAGUUUAUAGGAAGCUCCAAUGCAGGGUUCUUGCCUGACCGCCAUCGCAACAAAAUCAACCCAAGGACCUCCCUACACUGACCACUCCCCUACUGCCCUUGCCCCUUUCAGGUAAGGAAGACCUCCACUAGCUUUCCUAGUUAAUCAGCCAAGGGCGUCCCAUUAUACCCUUGUGGUAGCACUGUUUUCCCGGGUGGUCGCUCCAUGUUCCCAUUAACAUAAUGAUCUUAACAUGAACAGUAAUAAUAAAAGAGAAUAAAAGAGUAAUUAUGAAUAAAGUAUCUUCAUACCCAAAUCCACAUAAAGCAAUAGCAGGUACUACCCAAAGAAAUAUUUCAGUGGUAAACAAGGUAUAAAGAUAGCCAAAACUAGGGUAACCUAUUGGGUCCCAUCAAAAUUAUCCUAUGCAGAUCAUUAUAAUUAAUAAGAAUAUGGCUGCGAAAAAGUAAGUGAUCAAGGGCACAACUUGACUUCAAUGAGCUCCUGCUCAGCUACCUCUACUUGUUGAACCUCAGUUUCCACAUUGGCUUGCUCGUCUACUCGCAUCAACACAAUACAUACAUAGUAUAGCCAAAAUCAACAUCACACCAAACAGAUGAAUAAAAUAUACAGUAAAAAUCUAUACAUUAAAUGAAAUCAUAGGAACUGGAAUCACUAAAUUUGGAGUUAUAGAUUUCAAGUUAUGAAUUUCCUAAGGUUUAAUGUGAUUAAAAUAGGAUUAGAUGAGAAAUUAAUUUUCUUACUGUUUUCAUGUCAAAACAGAGACACUAAAUGAUAGAGAAUAAAAUUACAAAAUUUUAGGAACUGGAAUGGUUCAAUUUGGAGCUAAAAUGAAUUUUCUAUGCAUUUUACAAGUUCUAACAUUCAUUUGGGCAUUAAAACUAAUUUCUGAUAUAAAUUUCUGAUUUUUAAUACCCUCUGGAUUGGGCCACGUUUUCUGAAAAGUACAGGGGCGCCUAGGUAAAAAUCCCGAGUCACAGAGAACAGUAUAGGGUAGACUGCGGGUUGAAUAGUUAUUAAUCUAGGGUCUCUUUAGAAAUUAUGCCGCGCGAAGGGGUAUCUUGUGUUUUCAGCCGUCCGAUCUAGAGUCUAGGGUUUAGAUUUUAUGAAGCCUAACGCAUUAUGAACCGUUCGAUUAAACCUACGGCCCGGAUUGACUCAUCCAGGAGGUAUCCCCGAUUAGAUCUGCACCGCAUAUCAACGAUCUCACGAACAUCUUUCGCCCAACCCAUCUUCUAAUCUCGACCGGUCAUCUCAGCAUCUACGGCGACGACAUCGUCUUCCACCCAACAGCCCAGACGCCGUCUUCCUCCCUCGUGCUCGCACUCUACGGCGGCGGCCCAGCCGAUCCCCUACGGCUGAACACCAUAACCGAGCCAGCACGCAGUUCCGUGUUCGCCGUCCAAGCCCUAACUUCUACCCGGACGACCUCGUUCGAUACCCCGGUGUUCUGCGCGAUACUCGAGCGACCCACUACAAUCUAUACCCUGACGAUACCUUGUGCGAAAAUCAUAGCAGCAAGGAUAGCGGAAAAAGAACUCACCCCGCCGAGACAAGGUAGAGGCUGGGCGCAGGUGAUGCUUCACGAAAGAUCGCCACCGAGGACCCUCCUGCAUAG
rnacentral:lncRNA from 1 species